rnacentral:rRNA from 1 species
CCUACGGGAGGCAGCAGUAGGGAAUCUUCCACAAUGGACGAAAGUCUGAUGGAGCAACGCCGCGUGAGUGAAGAAGGUUUUCGGCUCGUAAAGCUCUGUUGGUAGUGAAGAAAGAUAGAGGUAGUAACUGGCCUUUAUUUGACGGUAAUUACUUAGAAAGUCACGGCUAACUACGUGCCAGCAGCCGCGGUAAAACGUAGGUGGCAAGCGUUGUCCGGAUUUAUGGGGCGUAAAGCGAGUGCAGGCGGUUCAAUAAGUCUGAUGGGAAAGCCUUCGGCUCAACCGGAGAAUUGCAUCAGAAACUGUUGAACUUGAGUGGAGAAGAGGAGAGUGGAACUCGAGGUGUAGCGGUGGAAUGCGUAGAUAUAUGGAAGAACACCAGUGGCGAAGGCGGCUCUCUGGUCUGCAACUGACGCUGAGGCUCGAAAGCAUGGGUAGCGAACAGGAUUAGAUACCCAGUAGUC